rnacentral:rRNA from 1 species
UACAGAGGUCCCAAGCGUUGUUCGGAUUCACUGGGCGUAAAGGGUGCGUAGGCGGUCGGGUAAGUCUGAUGUGAAAUCUCACAAGCUUAACUGUGAAACUGCAUUGGAUACUAUUCGGCUUGAGAGUUGGAGGGGGACGUGGAUUCUGGAUGUAGCAGUGAAAUGCGUAGAUAUCAAGAGGAACACCAGUGGCGAAGGCGAGUCCCUGGACAACUUCUGACGCUGAGGCACGAAAGCUAGGGGAGCAAACAGG